rnacentral:rRNA from 1 species
GACGAACGCUGGCGGCGUGCCUAACACAUGCAAGUCGAACGGGACUGAUUGGAAAGCGGCUUCGGCCAAUGGAAGAUCGGUUUAGUGGCGAACGGGUGAGUAACACGUGAGGAACCUGCCUUUCAGUGGGGGACAACAGUUGGAAACGACUGCUAAUACCGCAUAAUGUCAUCGAGCGGCAUCGCUUGAUGACCAAAGAUUUAUUGCUGAAAGAUGGCCUCGCGUCUGAUUAGCUAGUUGGUGGGGUAACGGCCCACCAAGGCGACGAUCAGUAGCCGGUCUGAGAGGAUGAACGGCCACAUUGGGACUGAGAUACGGCCCAGACUCCUACGGGAGGCAGCAGUGGGGAAUAUUGGGCAAUGGGGGAAACCCUGACCCAGCAACGCCGCGUGAAGGAAGAAAGGGCCCUCGGUUGGUU